rnacentral:rRNA from 1 species
GGGUUUAGGCCCACGGCAAACGGGUUAGUAAUGCAUAGGAACGUACCCUCGAGUCUCGAAUAAUCCUUCGAAAGGAGGAAUAAUGCGAGAUAGUUCUCUUCGGAGUAAAGAUUUAUCGCUUGAGGAGCGGCCCGUGUCCGAUCAGCUUGUUGGUGAGGUAAAGGCUCACCAAGGCUAUGACGGGUAGGGGAUGUGAGAGCAUGAUCCCCAACAUUGGAACUGAGACACUGUCCAAACACCUACGGGUGGCUGCAGUCGAGAAUCUUCGGCAAUGGGCGAAAGCCUGACCGAGCGACGCCGCGUGAAGGAUGAAGGCCUUCGGGUUGUAAACUUCUUUUGCAAGGGAAGAAACUAUGCACAAUUUGGAAAUUCAAAUUAUUUUUUGGAUGGAUUUUCGAAUUGUGCAU